rnacentral:rRNA from 1 species
GAGUUUGAUCCUGGCUCAGGACGAACGCUGGCGGCGCGCCUAACACAUGCAAGUCGAACGAGAGAGAGGGAGCUUGCUUCCUCAAUCGAGUGGCGAACGGGUGAGUAACGCGUGAGGAACCUGCCUCAAAGAGGGGGACAACAGUUGGAAACGACUGCUAAUACCGCAUAAGCCCACGGCUCGGCAUCGAGCAGAGGGAAAAGGAGCAAUCCGCUUUGAGAUGGCCUCGCGUCCGAUUAGCUAGUUGGUGAGGUAAUGGCCCACCAAGGCGACGAUCGGUAGCCGGACUGAGAGGUUGAACGGCCACAUUGGGACUGAGACACAGCCCAGACUCCUACGGGAGGCAGCAGUGGGGAAUAUUGCACAAUGGGGGAAACCCUGAUGCAGCGACGCCGCGUGGAGGAAGAAGGUCUUCGGAUUGUAAACUCCUGUUGUUGAGGAAGAUAAUGACGGUACUCAACAAGGAAGUGACGGCUAACUACGUGCCAGCAGCCGCGGUAAAACGUAGGUCACAAGCGUUGUCCGGAAUUACUGGGUGUAAAGGGAGCGCAGGCGGGAAGACAAGUUGGAAGUGAAAUCUAUGGGCUCAACCCAUAAACUGCUUUCAAAACUGUUUUUCUUGAGUAGUGCAGAGGUAGGCGGAAUUCCCGGUGUAGCGGUGGAAUGCGUAGAUAUCGGGAGGAACACCAGUGGCGAAGGCGGCCUACUGGGCACCAACUGACGCUGAGGCUCGAAAGUGUGGGUAGCAACAGGAUUAGAUACCCUGGUAGUCCACACCGUAAACGAUGAUUACUAGGUGUUGGAGGAUUGACCCCUUCAGUGCCGCAGUUAACACAAUAAGUAAUCCACCUGGGGAGUACGACCGCAAGGUUGAAACUCAAAGGAAUUGACGGGGGCCCGCACAAGCAGUGGAGUAUGUGGUUUAAUUCGACGCAACGCGAAGAACCUUACCAAGUCUUGACAUCCCUUGACGAACAUAGAAAUAUGUUUUCUCUUCGGAGCAAGGAGACAGGUGGUGCAUGGUUGUCGUCAGCUCGUGUCGUGAGAUGUUGGGUUAAGUCCCGCAACGAGCGCAACCCUUACUGUCAGUUACUACGCAAGAGGACUCUGGCAGGACUGCCGUUGACAAAACGGAGGAAGGUGGGGAUGACGUCAAAUCAUCAUGCCCUUUAUGACUUGGGCUACACACGUACUACAAUGGCGUUAAACAAAGAGAAGCAAGACCGCGAGGUGGAGCAAAACUCAGAAACAACGUCCCAGUUCAGACUGCAGGCUGCAACUCGCCUGCACGAAGUCGGAAUUGCUAGUAAUCGUGGAUCAGCAUGCCACGGUGAAUACGUUCCCGGGCCUUGACACACCGCCCGUC